rnacentral:rRNA from 1 species
GAUGAACGCUGGCGGCGUGCCUAAUACAUGCAAGUCGAGCGAACAGACGAGGAGCUUACUCCUCUGACGUUAGCGGCGGACGGGUGAGUAACACGUGGAUAACCUACCUAUAAGACUGGGAUAACUUCGGGAAACCGGAGCUAAUACCGGAUAACAUGUUGAACCGCAUGGUUCAACAGUGAAAGACGGUCUUGCUGUCACUUAUAGAUGGAUCCGCGUCGCAUUAGCUAGUUGGUAAGGUAACGGCUUGCCAAGGCAACGAUGCGUAGCCGACCUGAGAGGGUGAUCGGCCACACUGGAACUGAGACACGGUCCAGACUCCUACGGGAGGCAGCAGUAGGGAAUCUUCCGCAAUGGGCGAAAGCCUGACGGAGCAACGCCGCGUGAGUGAAGAAGGUCUUCGGAUCGUAAAACUCUGUUAUUAGGGAAGAACAAAUGUGUAAGUAACUAUGCACGUCUUGACGGUACCUAAUCAGAAAGCCACGGCUAACUACGUG